GACGAGGGAUCCUAGCGUUGUUCGGAAUUACUGGGCGUAAAGCGUGCGCAGGCGGUUCGUUGUGUCGGCGGUGAAAGCCCCGGGCUUAACCUGGGAAUGGCCGUUGAAACUGGCGAACUGGAGUGUGGCAGAGGGGGGUGGAAUUCCGCGUGUAGCAGUGAAAUGCGUAGAGAUGCGGAGGAACACCGAUGGCGAAGGCAGCCCCCUGGGCUGACACUGACGCUCAGGCAUGAAAGCGUGGGGAGCAAACAGG
rnacentral:rRNA from 1 species